rnacentral:rRNA from 1 species
CCGGGGUGGAGUAAUGUCUGGGAAACGUGCCUGAUGGAGGGGGAUAACUACUGGAAACGGGAGCUAAUACCGCAUAAUGUCGCAAGACCAAAGAGGGGGACCUUCGGGCCUCUUGCCAUCGGAUGUGCCCAGAUGGGAUUAGCUAGUAGGUGGGGUAACGGCUCACCUAGGCGACGAUCCCUAGCUGGUCUGAGAGGAUGACCAGCCACACUGGAACUGAGACACGGUCCAG